rnacentral:rRNA from 1 species
GGUUCGAUCCUGGCUCAGAUUGAACGCUGGCGGGAUGUUUACACACAUGCAAGUCGAACGGCAGCACGGACUUCGGUCUGGUGGCGAGUGGCGAACGGGUGAGUAAUGUAUCGGAACGUGCCCGGAAGUGGGGAUAAUCACGAAAGGUAGCUAUUUACCGCAUACGCCCUUCGGGGGAAAGCGGGGACCUCUGGGCUCCUCACCAUUAGAGUAUUGAUAUCGGAUUAGCUAGUUGGUGGGGUAACGGCUCACCAUGGGCGACGAUCCGUAGCUGGUUUGAGAGGACGACCAGCCACACUGGGACUGAGACACGGCCCAGACUUUGACGGAGGCAGCAGUGGGGAAUUUUGGACAAUGGGGAAACCCUGAUCCAGCCAUCCCGCGUGUGCGAUGAAGGCCUUCGGGUUGUAAAGCACUUUUAUAGGAAAGAAACGGUAUGGGAUAAUACCCCGUGUGCAACUGACGGUACCCGCAGAAUAAGCACCGGCUAACUACGUGCCAGCAGCCAUGGUAAUAGGGUGCAAGCGUUAAUCGGAAUUACUGGGCGUAAAAGCGUGCGCAGGCGGUUCGGAAAGAAAAAGAUGUGAAAUCCCAGAGCUUAACUUUGAACUGCAUUUUUAACUACCGAGCUAUGAGUGUGUCAGAGGGAGGUGGAAUUCAAGCGUGUAGCAGUGAAAUGCGUAGAUAUGCGGAGGAAACACCGAUGGCGAAGGCAGCCUCCUGGGAUAACACUGACGCUCAUGCACGAAAGCGUGGGGAUAAAACAGGAUUAGAUACUCUGGUAGUCCACGCCCUAAACGAUGUCAAUCUGAAGGUUAGACUCUCGGGCUCUCAGCGCAGCUAACGCGUGAAGUUGACCGCCUGGGGAGUACGGUCGCAAGAUUAAAACUCAAAGGAAUUGACGGGGACCUGCGCCGCGUAGAAUACGUGGAUUAAUUCGAUGCAACGCGAAAAAACCUUACUCACCCUUGAUAAGGUCUGGAAUCCCGAAGAGACUUGGGAUGCUCGCAAGAGAACCGGAACACAGGUGCUGCAUGGCUGUCAUCAGGCUGUAAUGAUGUUGGGUUAAGUCCUGGCAACGAGCGCAACCCUUGUCAUUAGUUGCUACGAAAGGGCACUCUAUCGAGACUGCCGGUGACAAACCGGAGGAAGGGGUGGGGAUGACGUCGGGUCCUCAUGGCCCUUAUGGGUAGGGCUUCACAAUGUCAUACAAUGGUCGGGACAGAGGGUCGCCAACCCGCGAGGGGGAGCCAAUCCCAGAAACCCGAUCGUAGUCCGGAUCGCAGUCUGCAACUCGACUGCGUGAAGUCGGAAUCGCUAGUAAUCGCGGAUCAGCAUGUCGCGGUGAAUACGUUCCCCGGGUCUUGCACACACCGCCCGUCACACCAUGGGAGUGGGUUUUACCAGAAGUAGUUAGCCUAACCGUAAGGAGGGCGAUUACCACGGUAGGAUUCAUGACUGGGGUGAAGUCGUAACAAGGUAA